rnacentral:rRNA from 1 species
UGCGUAGGCGGUCUUUUAAGUCAGUGGUGAAAUCCUGCAGCUCAACUGUAGAACUGUCAUUGAUACUGAUUUUCUUGAAUUUAGUUGAGGUAGGCGGAAUGUGUAAUGUAGCGGUGAAAUGCUUAGAUAUUACACAGAACACCGAUUGCGAAGGCAGCUUACUAAGCUAACAUUGACGCUGAGGCACGAAAGCGUGGGGAGCGAACAGGAUUAGAUACCCUGGUAGUC